UACGAAGGGGGCUAGCGUUGCUCGGAAUGACUGGGCGUAAAGGGCGCGUAGGCGGACUGCACAGUCAGGCGUGAAAUUCCUGGGCUUAACCUGGGGACUGCGUCUGAGACGUGUGAUCUAGAGUGAGGAAGAGGGUCGUGGAAUUUCCAGUGUAGAGGUGAAAUUCGUAGAUAUUGGAAAGAACACCGGUGGCGAAGGCGGCGACCUGGUCCUUUACUGACGCUGAGGCGCGAAAGCGUGGGGGAGCAAACAGGAUUAGAUACCCUGGUAGUCCACGCUGUAAACGAUGUGUGCUUGAUGUUGGGGUGCUUAGCACUUCAGUGUCGGAGCUAACGCGGUAAGCACACCGCCUGGGGAGUACGGCCGCAAGGUUGAAACUCA
rnacentral:rRNA from 1 species